rnacentral:rRNA from 1 species
UCACCUGUUUUUCAAAAACAUUUCUGGGAGGAAAAUGUUUUUAGUUUAACCUGCUCAAUGCUUUAGUGAAUAGCUGCAGUAUUUUGACUGUACAAAGGUAGCAUAAUCAUUAGUCUUUUGAUUGGGGGCUUGUAUGAAUGGUUGAACAGAAUAUUAACUUUUUUAGUUAUAUGAAAUUUUAAUUUACAGUUUAUGUAAAAAUACAUAGGUUUUUGGGAGGGACGAUAAGACCCUAUAGAAUUUUAAAGUAGGUAUGGAAAUUUCUAUUUUUUUGUUGGGGUGAUAGUAAAUAAACUUUUACAUAAUUUUCAUUGAUGGAUGGUUAAAGGAUCCUAAAAUUUUAGAAAAAAAGAUAAAAUUACCUUAGGGGUAACAGCAUAAUUUUUUUUAAAAGAUCUUAUUAAUAAAAAAGAUUAUGACCUCGAUGUUGAAUUAAAAUAAAAUUUUGGUGUAGAAGCUUAAUUUUUAGUCUGUUCGACUGUGGAUUUUACAUGAUUUGAGUCAAAAUCGACGA